rnacentral:piRNA from 1 species
UGUUAGAAGAUGUGCCCUUGGGAGA